AUGGAUGGAUGGAUGGACUUAAAACAAGACACAAGAAGCUUGAGGUACACAUUAAAAGCUGGGGAACCAUGUGAAGAGAGAAGGUGCGUAGCCUCACUGCUACUCACACCCCACUGCAAGGACAAGCAGGAUGUGAUAUACGGCCAUUUCAACUUCACUAUUUCUCUGCUGGCCUUCUGCCAAAGGAGCCAUCGAUGCCUGGAUCUGAGAAGCUCACAUAUUAUCCAAACACCUUACAUGUGUCCCAGCCUAGAUCGAUGCUAAGAGUGUCGUCCUAGAAUCUAAAGAAGACAGCAAAGUCCAUGACCUUUGACGCUUUUUGCUCCAAAGUGCUGCGUUCCAAAAAAUUGAAGUUUACUGACCGAGGAACAAUGCAAAUUUCUUAAGUAACCUGGGUAAGUUCACUAAUGAAAAGGGCUAUUUCAACCUCAGUCCCAGGAAGUCUUCUGGAGUCAGCUUUGGUGCUCUUAGCAAAUCUCCGUUCAGGCUUUCCCAUCCAACACGCAAAGUGUGGAAAUGCCUUAGUUAUCAGUUCAUUGCCGGGUAUGCAUUUUUUUUUUUUUUUUGGAAAGGUAAGUCAGAGUUUCCCUCCAACUUUUCUUGAGAAAAGCUGAAAAAAUGGAAACUUCUUAAGUAAUUGAUUUAGCUUUCCUGAAGCUCCUGAUUCUUGGCAGGUCAGAUAUUGGAAACUGCAAUAAGAUUCCU
rnacentral:lncRNA from 1 species